CUCCUUAUAAAGCAUUCUCCCAUGCAAGGGAGGGAUUCAUCAUAAUUAAGACAGUAGCCAACAAUGUCACAGUUACCUCCCACACAUCUCCUCCCCUCAGUGUGACACAUAAUCCCAUAAAUCAUGCUGUACUUUUCCCCGAAUUCUGGAUGUACCCCAAAACAGCUAGGUACAAUGGGCUAAUUUGCACCCCCUAGUAGCCCUGAUCUGGGUGACAAA